CCCCCUUCACGAGGGAGCGCUACGGCGAUAAGUAUGUGGGCAAGGCGGCGUGGCACUUCCACCCAAACGAGAUCCCCUUUCGGGAACAGCAGAUUCGGGCGCACGAGCUGAAGAGGCGUCUCGAGCUCGAGGCGGCAGAGACUCGCUUUGCCCGCCUCAAGGAGCUGGGCGUCUGGCCGGGCGAACCCAGUUGGAGAAAGCCUUGGGAGCCGCAGGUCGACAUG
rnacentral:ribozyme from 21 species